rnacentral:rRNA from 1 species
UACAGAGGGUGCGAGCGUUAAUCGGAAUUACUGGGCGUAAAGCGUGCGUAGACGGUUUCGUAAGUCGGGUGUGAAAUCCCCGGGCUCAACCUGGGAAUUGCAUUCGAAACUGCGAGGCUAGGGUACGGAAGAGGGAAGCGGAAUUUCUGGUGUAGUGGUGAAAUGCGUAGAUAUCGGGAGGAACACCAGUGGCGAAGGCGACUACCUGGCCUGUUCUUGACGCUGAGGCGCGAAAGCUAGGGGAGCAAACGGG